GCUCAUCUACUCUCAGUGUACCUUUCCCCAUUCCCCAUCAUGGAUUAAACGUAUGACAUCUGAUGCUGUUUUCUAGCUACUUGUAUUGGCCCCUCUCUCUGACUGUUGUAGUUCUCUUGUACCCCCGUAUAAAAGGAAAAAGCAAGAAAAAUUAUUUAACAGAGAGCCAUGGGACUUUCUUAACCAAAAAUUUAAUAACUAGAAUUGGAAAAGCGUAGAUCUAAGAAAGAAAGGAGAUGGAAAAGAAAAGAGAAGAUGGUAGGGUGACGUGUUGGUCAGUGGUUACGUGAUAGUGUGGUAGUGUUAGUGUUGGCGUGGAUAUUGUUAUAGGUAUCCCACAGUUUGAUUACCUAUGGUCAGAUUUCAAAAGUUAGAAGUCUAUCAUCUCUAAUUUGUAUGUUGUUUCUUUUGAUUGUUUUUAUGGUUACUAUGGAGGAUUGAAUGUGUAUAGGUUGCACUACGGCUCCCAUAUUUGUGUGAUCUUACGUUUUUGGUUCAGUGUUACUGCUGAAGCUAAUUCAUACAUAUAGUUUAAAAUUAUUUUAUCUAUCAAGCUUGGUUCAGAAGGGCAUGUACUCGAUUUCCAGUUAAGUGCAAUGAGGGCCCUAGCCGCCAGAAUCACCUGUGAGACUAUUGCCCUCUCGUAAAAAGACCAGUUUGGGGGCAAAUCAAGCCAUA